CCCCCACCCGCCCCCCAAGAGCUUCAGAGGCCCUAUAGGUGACUGAGAACAUGCUCAGGUGGGGGCCCAUCAGGCUUGAUUUGCACCUGGUUGAAGCUCUUGCAAUUGUAGCCCACCCACCCCAUCCCACGCUAACCACCAUCUCAGGCAGGACGAUCAUGACCCACACAUGCAUCUUUACCAUCUCAGGCUUUCCGUGGGCGGCGCCUGGGUUUCAGCCUCACGCAGCCGCGUUGGCCCAGAGCAGGCUUCUUGCAAAGGUCUCUUCCGCCCGCCGCGCUGUCCCCGCUGCUUGCGCUGCUGGUGGGAUGUUUUCAAGCGGGUGAUCGAAGUCCACGUCAAGGACCCCCCGACACCCUAUCUGCUUACAAAUAAUGCCCAUUUAAGAAAGAAACAGCUACCAAGUGGGGCAAGCAACUUGGCUGUAUUCCAAGCCCUGGUUCCACCUGUUCCAAGCUCCUCAGGCUUCUACCUGUACUUUCUUGUCUGGAAAUAAUUGAGACAGCGGGGCGAUCAUGCUCCCCGUUAUCUCCAGCUGGAACAGUCUGCUCUUCCAAGCUCCUCAGGCAAGGCAGAGGGACGGAUCCACUGCAGAGAUAAACUAGCCUCUGCCCUCCCCAGCCCUUCUCUGUUCACACAGGAGGUUUUCAUUUUGAUCAGGCAAUAUUCACAAAUGACAGAUCCAAAAACUUAAGUACUGAGUAAAAAUAAAGACACCA
ensembl:lncRNA